rnacentral:tRNA from 1 species
AAUGUGGUCGGGCACGGCAUCGAGCCCGCGGGCGCCACCGGCGCCCGACGGUCCGGGGGCGGUCCCGGGGCGGUCCCUGGACCGCCCCGCGGCACC